AACGCACCUUGCGCUCUAUGGCAAUCCGUAGAGCAUGCCUGUUUGAGUGCCAUGAAAUCUCCCACCCCAAGCGGUUUCUAAAUGAAACGGCCUUGGCGGCUGGGGUCUGGAUUGGGUGCCUCUGCCUGCGCUACCUAGCACAGGCUCGCCCGAAAUGCAUGAGCGCUUAGCACUCGCACCGUCUCGAGGGAAGGCGGCGGAGCUGGCAUCUGCGCAUGGCAUGAUACGUCAUUUGCUGUGUGGCAGCCCAGCGACCCGAGAGUGUGUGUGCGCUACUACACGCCCUUUCAUUUCUGGUCUCAAAUCAGGUAGGAUCACCCGCUGAACUUAA
rnacentral:misc_RNA from 1 species